rnacentral:lncRNA from 1 species
UGUGUUCCUUCCCCACGUGUGCUGCUGUCCCCACAAAAAAUGCAUUUCGGAUGCUGAAUAUCCACGCCUCACGGUGCUCUGGUGACUAGGGGGAUCCCUGUGAGAUGGGGGCUUUCCAGCAACCUAGAUAAUGAAACCACAGAGCAGCCUUCCCCUGCGGUGACCUAGUUCUUAAUUCCUGUAGUUUCAACACUCAUCACAGCAGAAUUCUGAUGAGGCUGGGCUCUUUCGCAGCUGGCAUUUGAUGAGAAAAGGGAAUUGAAAUGUAGGUGAUUGAUUUGGACCUGGAGAAGCUGAUUGGAUGUCACCCUGUUCUUCCCGACAAUGGGGACCGGUCUGUGCAAAGGGGACUUCCUGUGACCCCUGCGGGUCCACCGGAAGUUCUGAUUUCUCCCAGUGGAAUAGGGGCGCGAAGGCUGCCCUGUCACACACGGCCCAAGAGAUUGAUUACCUGGGCUCUGGCAGCCUCUCUGGUGACAGUGACAGGGACUGGGAACCUGGGAGCUUCUCAGCAUCUCCUUCUCACACUCUGCCUCUGAGCAGCUGGGAAUCCUUACCCCUCCAAUCUCCUGACUGCUCAUCUCCCUGGAGCCAGGACCCUGAAUCAGUAUUCACGGCCUGUUAG